UCCAGUGUGUUUAGUUUGCAAAUUAACACUUCCCUCCUGUGCAAAGUUUUAUGAGAAGGUUAACAAAACAUUUGAAGGAGCUGUGAAAAGGAAGUUACAUGCAGCACAAACCAGGCAACCAAGAGCUUUUGGUGGUCAUCACUGAAGAUGGAAACUGUGGCAGAUGGAAGUCUCUGCUUCUUGAAGAGAAACUAUGCAUUGAGUAUGCAUGAUCUGUGUGCCUGGAUAUCAUCUUUACCUGCUUUGUUCUGUAUGUUGUCAAAGAGGAUCGCUUUGGGGAGCAUUGUGUCUGUACACUCUGGAUGAACCCCUUUGAAGCAGGAGAGCCAGCACACUGGACCCAGCUGAUUCUAAGGAGCAGAGUGGAUGGCCCAUUAUACUCAGAACCCUUGGCAUCCAAAUUGUCAGCAACUCAUCAGCUAGUGUUUCUUCCUUGAAGGGCGAAGUCUCAAUCCUCAAAUGUUCUAGGAGGUGAGUAGAAAUUUUUGCCUUCCAUCGUUUUAAUGUAGCAAAGCAAAAAACAGCUGAAAAGGGUAGUUCACGAAACUAUCAUAGCAUCUUAG
rnacentral:lncRNA from 1 species